rnacentral:rRNA from 1 species
AUUGAACGCUGGCGGCAGGCCUAACACAUGCAAGUCGAGCGGGGUUUUCGGACCUAGCGGCGGACGGGUGAGUAAUGCGUAGGAAGCUACCCGAUAGAGGGGGAUACCAGUUGGAAACGACUGUUAAUACCGCAUAAUGUCUACGGACCAAAGUGUGGGACCUUCGGGCCACAUGCUAUCGGAUGCGCCUACGUGGGAUUAGCUAGUUGGUGGGGUAAUGGCUCACCAAGGCGACGAUCCCUAGCUGGUUUGAGAGGAUGAUCAGCCACACUGGAACUGAGACACGGUCCAGACUCCUACGGGAGGCAGCAGUGGGGAAUAUUGGACAAUGGGCGCAA